UUCUGCUUUCAUUUUCAUUUUCUUUUUCUGCCAAUAUUAGCAGGGAAAGUUUAAUAUUUAUACAUGUAUUAAUACAGACUUUGCUACUCUCUUCAAAGUUGCUAAGAAUACAAAUGUGGAGUUGGAAAUAAGUAAAAUAUGUCUCUUUUAAAGUAGCUCAGAGUAAGUCAUUUGUGUUUGCAGGAGCAGCAGCUCCAGGGCCUAGAACUGUAAGUGACAGAGUCUCUCUAAGUGUCUUUGCCUUAAAGGGGUCUGUUGUUGUGAUUUGGUGCUAUAUUAUAGCUAUAGCUAUAUGAUAAUAAUAAAACUGAUUUGACCUUGGUAGUUUAUUGAAAUUAGCCUUCACAUUUUCUUCUGUUAAUAACUGUUGAAGAAGUAAUAUCUUUUUUUUCUUCUGUUUUUCUUUCUUUGUGGGGGAAGCAGACCAGAAGGCUCAAAGGGUCGUCAUUUAUCAAGCCCAUGACGAUCCCCUGCCCCGUAAAGAAGGCUGACCCAGUAGCCAAGAACAGCUGGCAGAUGGGCUGUUGCCAAUAACACAAGAGCAGAAAAACAAAUUUUAAGUACCUAUCCAGUAGUAGCACCCAGAUUUUCAGUGUAAUGGUGUUUUGCAUUGCACUGCUGUUUUGAUGCAGCUUUCUGUCUUAAAUUAUUUUGGAAGUGAUAGCAGAGACGUACAUUUUAAUUUUUUCAGAAAUCUCUCAGAGCGUGGUAUAUCAUGUUUAGGUGUAAACUAGCGAGCUAACUUCCUGCUAACUUCACAAGGCUCCUGACUACUGUAGCCGCAAUGCUCUGACAAUCCAUCAAGCGGUGCGGCUUCGUAGCUCACCAAAGUCGAACUAAGACAUUUUUUUGAGUGCCAUGCACCACAUAAAAUCGGUUCGAGGUGAGUAAGCACAACCAGAAAUCAUACAUAAGGCGCACUGAUUUAUAAGGCGCACUGUCGAUUUUUCAGAAAAUUAAAGAAUUUUAAGUGCGCCUUAUAGUCCGAAAAAUACGGUACUCGUAUGACUAUGCAUGUGACCAAUUAAGAAUCCUGACUCUUCAUCCUUUUCGAGCUUCUCGAGUGAUGUUGCUAUCACUUGGUAUGGCUGUAUCUCUCACUUCUUCCUCUGCUUGUCCACCACUGCUAUAUUUGGUGGGUUAGCCAUUACCAGUUUUUCCAUCUGCAUCUGGAAGUCCCACAGUAUCUUAGCUAAGUGAUUAUAAAAAUCAGGACUCCUCAAGAUUUGUUAAAACAGAUUUAACAAGACUUUAAAAGUUGUGAAAGCGCUUGCUCAUAGGGGGUCAAUCACAGCAAAACACUGGCAGCAAAACAAACCAAAAUAAAAGCAAAAUAAAAAGAGCUGUUUCUGUUGUACAGUUCAAUGUCUAUAAUGUCUAUAGACAAUGUCUAUAAUCUCCACAGUGUAUUUGAUUUUUAAAGAACCAAGAGGGAAUUUUAGUCCUGUCCUCUUUGGGGCUGAUCUAGGACUAGGAUUCGGGCAUUUGGUGCCAUCAGGGUCGACACUCUCUCAGUUACCUGCA